UGCAGUCGACGAUGAACCGGUUUCGGCCGGGGAUUAGUGGCGAACGGGUGAGUAACACGUGGGCAAUCUGCCCUUCACUCUGGGACAAGCCCUGGAAACGGGGUCUAAUACCGGAUAUCACUCCUGCAGGCAUCUGCGGGAGUCGAAAGCUCCGGCGGUGAAGGAUGAGCCCGCGGCCUAUCAGCUUGUUGGUGAGGUAAUGGCUCACCAAGGCGACGACGGGUAGCCGGCCUGAGAGGGCGACCGGCCACACUGGGACUGAGACACGGCCCAGACUCCUACGGGAGGCAGCAGUGGGGAAUAUUGCACAAUGGGCGAAAGCCUGAUGCAGCGACGCCGCGUGAGGGAUGACGGCCUUCGGGUUGUAAACCUCUUUCAGCAGGGAAGAAGCGAAAGUGACGGUACCUGCAGAAGAAGCGCCGGCUAACUACGUGCCAGCAGCCGCGGUAAUACGUAGGGCGCAAGCGUUGUCCGGAAUUAUUGGGCGUAAAGAGCUCGUAGGCGGCUUGUCACGUCGAUUGUGAAAGCCCGAGGCUUAACCUCGGGUCUGCAGUCGAUACGGGCUAGCUAGAGUGUGGUAGGGGAGAUCGGAAUUCCUGGUGUAGCGGUGAAAUGCGCAGAUAUCAGGAGGAACACCGGUGGCGAAGGCGGAUCUCUGGGCCAUUACUGACGCUGAGGAGCGAAAGCGUGGGGAGCGAACAGGAUUAGAUACCCUGGUAGUCCACGCCGUAAACGGUGGGAACUAGGUGUUGGCGACAUUCCACGUCGUCGGUGCCGCAGCUAACGCAUUAAGUUCCCCGCCUGGGGAGUACGCCGCAACGCUAAAACUCAAAGGAAUUGACGGGGCCCGCACAAGCGGCGGAGCAUGUGGCUUAAUCGACGCAACGCGAAA
rnacentral:rRNA from 1 species